GAAAUUCUUCUUAAACUAUUCCCUG
rnacentral:tRNA from 1 species